AGAGUUUGAUCAUGGCUCAGGACGAACGCUGGCGGCGUGCCUAAUACAUGCAAGUAGAACGCUGAAGAGAGGAGCUUGCUCUUCUUGGAUGAGUUGCGAACGGGUGAGUAACGCGUAGGUAACCUGCCCUGUAGCGGGGGAUAACUAUUGGAAACGAUAGCUAAUACCGCAUAACAAUGGAUGACCCAUGUCAUUUAUUUGAAAGGGGCAAAUGCUCCACUACAAGAUGGACCUGCGUUGUAUUAGCUAGUAGGUGAGGUAACGGCUCACCUAGGCGACGAUACAUAGCCGACCUGAGAGGGUGAUCGGCCACACUGGGACUGAGACACGGCCCAGACUCCUACGGGAGGCAGCAGUAGGGAAUCUUCGGCAAUGGGGGCAACCCUGACCGAGCAACGCCGCGUGAGUGAAGAAGGUUUUCGGAUCGUAAAGCUCUGUUGUAAGUCAAGAACGAGUGUGAGAGUGGAAAGUUCACACUGUGACGGUAGCUUACCAGAAAGGGACGGCUAACUACGUGCCAGCAGCCGCGGUAAUACGUAGGUCCCGAGCGUUGUCCGGAUUUAUUGGGCGUAAAGCGAGCGCAGGCGGUUUGAUAAGUCUGAAGUUAAAGGCUGUGGCUCAACCAUAGUUCGCUUUGGAAACUGUCAAACUUGAGUGCAGAAGGGGAGAGUGGAAUUCCAUGUGUAGCGGUGAAAUGCGUAGAUAUAUGGAGGAACACCGGUGGCGAAAGCGGCUCUCUGGUCUGUAACUGACGCUGAGGCUCGAAAGCGUGGGGAGCGAACAGGAUUAGAUACCCUGGUAGUCCACGCCGUAAACGAUGAGUGCUAGGUGUUGGAUCCUUUCCGGGAUUCAGUGCCGCAGCUAACGCAUUAAGCACUCCGCCUGGGGAGUACGACCGCAAGGUUGAAACUCAAAGGAAUUGACGGGGGCCCGCACAAGCGGUGGAGCAUGUGGUUUAAUUCGAAGCAACGCGAAGAACCUUACCAGGUCUUGACAUCCCGAUGCUAUUUCUAGAGAUAGAAAGUUACUUCGGUACAUCGGUGACAGGUGGUGCAUGGUUGUCGUCAGCUCGUGUCGUGAGAUGUUGGGUUAAGUCCCGCAACGAGCGCAACCCCUAUUGUUAGUUGCCAUCAUUCAGUUGGGCACUCUAGCGAGACUGCCGGUAAUAAACCGGAGGAAGGUGGGGAUGACGUCAAAUCAUCAUGCCCCUUAUGACCUGGGCUACACACGUGCUACAAUGGUUGGUACAACGAGUUGCGAGUCGGUGACGGCAAGCUAAUCUCUUAAAGCCAAUCUCAGUUCGGAUUGUAGGCUGCAACUCGCCUACAUGAAGUCGGAAUCGCUAGUAAUCGCGGAUCAGCACGCCGCGGUGAAUACGUUCCCGGGCCUUGUACACACCGCCCGUCACACCACGAGAGUUUGUAACACCCGAAGUCGGUGAGGUAACCUUUUGGAGCCAGCCGCCUGAGGUGGGAUAGAUGAUUGGGGUGAAGUCGUAACAAGGUA
rnacentral:rRNA from 1 species